rnacentral:rRNA from 1 species
AUUGAACGCUGGCGGCAGGCUUAACACAUGCAAGUCGAGCGGGGGAGGUUGCUUCGGUAACUGACCUAGCGGCGGACGGGUGAGUAAUGCUUAGGAAUCUGCCUAUUAGUGGGGGACAACAUUCCGAAAGGGAUGCUAAUACCGCAUACGCCCUACGGGGGAAAGCAGGGGACCUUCGGACCUUGCGCUCAUAUAUGGGCCUAAGUCGGCUUAGCUAGUUGGUGGGGUAAAGGCCUACCAAAGCGACGAUCUGUAGCGGGUCUGAGAGGAUGAUCCGCCACACUGGGACUGAGACACGGCCCAGACUCCUACGGGAGGCAGCAGUGGGGAAUAUUGGACAAUGGGCGGAAGCCUGAUCCAGCCAUGCCGCGUGUGUGAAGAAGGCCUUUUGGUUGUAAAGCACUUUAAGCGAGGAGGAGGCUACUAGUACUAAUACUACUGGAUAGUGGACGUUACUCGCAGAAUAAGCACCGGCUAACUCUGUGCCAGCCGCCGCCGUAACAC